GCGGGCGUAGCUCAGUGGUAGAGCGCUACCUUGCCAAGGUAGAAGUCGAGAGUUCAAGUCUCUUCGCCCGCU
rnacentral:tRNA from 1 species